AGUGAACGCUGGCGGUAGGCCUAACACAUGCAAGUCGAACGGCAGCACAGUAAGAGCUUGCUCUUACGGGUGGCGAGUGGCGGACGGGUGAGGAAUACAUCGGAAUCUACUUUUUCGUGGGGGAUAACGUAGGGAAACUUACGCUAAUACCGCAUACGACCUACGGGUGAAAGCAGGGGAUCUUCGGACCUUGCGCGAUUGAAUGAGCCGAUGUCGGAUUAGCUAGUUGGCGGGGUAAAGGCCCACCAAGGCGACGAUCCGUAGCUGGUCUGAGAGGAUGAUCAGCCACACUGGAACUAAGACACGGUCCAGACUCCUACGGGAGGCAGCAGUGGGGAAUAUUGGACAAUGGGCGCAAGCCUAAUCCACCCAUACCGCGUGGGUGAGGAAGCCCUUCGGGUUGUAAAGCCCUUUUGUUGGAAAAAAAAGCCGGCAGGUUAGUACCCCGCGGUUCUACCGGUACCAAAAGAAAAGCACCGGCUAACUUCGU
rnacentral:rRNA from 1 species